UACGGAGGGUGCAAGCGUUAUCCGGAUUCACUGGGUUUAAAGGGUGCGUAGGUGGGUUGGUAAGUCAGUGGUGAAAUCUCCGAGCUUAACUUGGAAACUGCCAUUGAUACUAUCAAUCUUGAAUAUUGUGGAGGUUAGCGGAAUAUGUCAUGUAGCGGUGAAAUGCUUAGAUAUGACAUAGAACACCAAUUGCGAAGGCAGCUGGCUACACAUAUAUUGACACUGAGGCGCGAAAGCGUGGGGAUCAAACAGG
rnacentral:rRNA from 1 species